rnacentral:misc_RNA from 1 species
GCUCAGCUUGCUCUUGGAAAGGGAGAUGAAGACCUUGCUCGUGAAGCUCUGAAAAGAAAAAAAUCUUAUGCUGAUAAUGCAAAUGCCUUAAAGACUCAACUUGAUCAGCAGAAGGCCGUGGUUGACAAUCUGGUCAGCAAUACACGGCUUUUGGAGAGCAAGAUACAAGAAGCAAAAUCAAAGAAGGAUACUCUGAAAGCACGUGCUCAGUCAGCAAAGACGGCAACCAAAGUAAGUGAGAUGUUGGGAAAUGUAAACACAAGCAGCGCUCUCUCAGCCUUCGAAAGAAUGGAAGAAAAAGUUUUGACGAUGGAGUCUCAAGCAGAUGCUCUUAACCAGUUAACCAGUGAUGAGCUUGAAGGAAAGUUUGCAUUACUGGAGACCUCUUCUGUUGAUGAUGAUCUUGCUAGCUUAAAAAAGGAAUUGAGCGGAAGCGCCAAGAAAGGGGAUCUUCCACCGGGGAGAACACCAGUUACCAGAUCAAGCUCGCCAUUACAAUUUCAAGAUUCAGAGAUUGAAAAAGAAUUGAACGAGUUAAGGAGGCGGGCAAAUGACUUCUAGAGAUCACAGUCGAUCUUUCACACUACAAAACAUCUUCCUUCAGGCAUUUGUUACUCAAAGAUUGUGGCUUUUGGAUCUUCCGAGAAGUUGCCUCAUCGAUAAAGGCCAGCGAAUAUAGGAAGUGAAACUGGAAAAAGUAUAUUGAGAUAUGUUGAUAUAUCUUUUUUCAAAUUAUUGACCUACAUUAUGGCAAUAUAGUGUAAGCUAGUCCUGACUACAGUUUUGUAUACUGCCACCCAAAUGUUUUCAUGUGAGAAUAGUCACUUCAAG